rnacentral:rRNA from 1 species
AUUGAACGCUGGCGGCAUGCCUUACACAUGCAAGUCGAACGGCAGCAUGAUCUAGCUUGCUAGAUUGAUGGCGAGUGGCGAACGGGUGAGUAAUACAUCGGAACGUGCCCUGUAGUGGGGGAUAACUAGUCGAAAGAUUAGCUAAUACCGCAUACGACCUGAGGGUGAAAGUGGGGGACCGCAAGGCCUCAUGCUAUAGGAGCGGCCGAUGUCUGAUUAGCUAGUUGGUGAGGUAAAGGCUCACCAAGGCGACGAUCAGGAGCUGGUCUGAGAGGACGAUCAGCCACAUUGGGACUGAGACACGGCCCAGACUCCUACGGGAGGCAGCAGUGGGGAAUUUUGGACAAUGGGGGCAACCCUGAGCCAGCAAUGCCGCGUGUGUGAAGAAGGCCUUCGGGUUGUAAAGCACUUUUGUCCGGAAAGAAAUCGCACUUACUAAUAUUAGGUGUGGAUGACGGUACCGGAAGAAUAAGGACCGGCUAACUACGUGCCAGCCGCCGCGGUAACAC